rnacentral:rRNA from 1 species
CCUACGGGUGGCAGCAGUGGGGGAUAUUGCACAAUGGGGGGAACCCUGAUGCAGCGACGCCGCGUGGGUGAAGGAGUGCUUCGGCAUGUAAAGCCCUAUCGGCAGGGAAGAAGCAAGACGGUACCUGACUAAGAAGCCCCGGCUAACUACGUGCCAGCAGCCGCGGUAAUACGUAGGGGGCGAGCGUUAUCCGGAUUCACUGGGGGUAAAGGGAGGGUAGACGGCCAUGCAAGCCAGGGGGGAAAGCCCGGGGCCGAACCCCGGGACUGCCCUUGGAACUGCAGGGCUGGAGUGCGGGAGGGGCAGGCGGAAUGCCUGGGGUAGCGGUGAAAUGCGUAGAUAUCAUGAGGAACGCCGGCGGCGAAGGCGGCCGGCGGGACCGCGACUGACGUGGAGGCUCGAAAGCGUGGGGAGCGAACAGGAUUAGAUACCCCGGUAGUC